GUCCAUGCCGUAAACUAUGCAUACAAGCUGUAGUGGGGUUUUUCUCCUGCUGUGGCGAAGCUAACGCAAUUAGUAUGCCGCCUGGGGAGUACGGUCGCAAGACUAAAAACUCAAAGGAAUUGACGGGGGCCCCGCACAAGCGGUGGAUUAUGUGGUUUAAUUCGAAGCAACGCGCAGAACCUUACCUAGGCUUGACAUCCCUUGACAAACGUGGAAACACGUCUUUGUAGCAAUACACAAGGAGACAGGUGCUGCAUGGCUGUCGU
rnacentral:rRNA from 1 species